rnacentral:rRNA from 1 species
CGGGAGGCAGCAGUGAGGAAUAUUGGUCAAUGGGCGAGAGUCUGAACCAGCCAAGUAGCGUGAAGGAUGAAGGUUUAUGGAUUGUAAACUUCUUUUAUACGGGAAUAACGAAUCCACGCGUGGAUUUUUGCAUGUACCGUAUGAAUAAGGAUCGGCUAACUCCGUGCCAGCAGCCGCGGUAAUACGGAGGAUCCGAGCGUUAUCCGGAUUUAUUGGGUUUAAAGGGAGCGUAGAUGGGUUGUUAAGUCAGUUGUGAAAGUUUGCGGCUCAACCGUAAAAUUGCAAUUGAUACUGGCAGUCUUGAGUACAGUUGAGGUAGGCGGAAUUCGUGGUGUAGCGGUGAAAUGCUUAGAUAUCACGAAGAACUCCGAUUGCGAAGGCAGCUUACUAACCUGUAACUGACAUUGAUGCUCGAAAGUGUGGGUAU